rnacentral:tRNA from 2 species
GGAGAGGUGGCCGAGCGGUCGAAGGCGCACGAUUGGAAAUCGUGUAUACGGCGAAACCGUAUCGAGGGUUCGAAUCCCUCUCUCUCCGCCA